GAUUCUAAAACCGGUUUCGGUUUUUAUAUACCCCAUAAAAACAUAAGGAAACAAACAAAAAUUGAAAGAAAGGAAGAACGCUCCUCAAAAUUUCCUAAAUUCCACAAGAAUUAGGGUUUCAAUCAUCGAACGAUUUUCUUACAGAUUAUAAUAAUGUGUAGAUUGGUUGCUGGUGAAGAUGAUUCAGGCGGUGAACUGGAUCAUCAUCAAAGCAUGGUAAAUGAAACCGACCGCAUGGAUCCACAAAUCCGAGCCCAAAUUGCACGUUUGGAAGCAAGGAUAAGCAGGGUUGAAGCCCGGAUGGAAAAGCUAGAGGUCAGCGUUCAAUAUCUGCAAAGGCGAAUGUAUGUCUAUGGUUUUGUCUGUUUGAUGUCUGUUUUGUAUGCCAUAUUCAAAUAGAUUUUAAGGUGAUUAAACGAUUACCACAACGCAUGUUUCUAGUAUAUUGUACAAAGGUAGCGGUACUACUUUAAUGUUAGACCAAAAAACGAUCAAGAUCGGCAGAUUAUCAGUUAUAUCUAAAAAAACUUGCCUUUUAUU